rnacentral:rRNA from 1 species
GGGGGGGGGUGGGGGCGGGGCUGGGGGAGGCAAGUCGGGCGGCCGGACGAGGAGCUUGCUCCGCUGAAGGUAGCGGCGGACGGGUGAGUAACACGUGGAUAACCUACCUAUAAGACUGGGAUAACUUCGGGAAACCGGAGCUAAUACCGGAUAAUAUAUUGAACCGCAUGGUUCAAUAGUGAAAGACGGUUUUGCUGUCACUUAUAGAUGGAUCCGCGCCGCAUUAGCUAGUUGGUAAGGUAACGGCUUACCAAGGCAACGAUGCGUAGCCGACCUGAGAGGGUGAUCGGCCACACUGGAACUGAGACACAGUCCAGACUCCUACGGGAGGCAGCAGUAGGGAAUCUUCCGCAAUGGGCGAAAGCCUGACGGAGCAACGCCGCGUGAGUGAUGAAGGUCUUCGGAUCGUAAAACUCUGUUAUUAGGGAAGAACAAAUGUGUAAGUAACUAUGCACGUCUUGACGGUACCUAAUCAGAAAGCCACGGCUAACUACGUG